CCAGCGCUCUCCUGGAGCUGGGAUCCGACCUACCAAACAGAAAGUGUUUCCCCUGUUUUUCGUUAUCAAAUAGACCUUAAUAUUUAAAUCCAGAGAGCAGGCUUCCGUCGCGGCGCGGGGACAGAUUCAUCCCUGAUGAGGGCAAAGGAGCUGCGGCCGGCGCGGGGUCUUUUCUGCGCGGCUUUCCGGAAAGCAAUUCCCCGGCGGCAGCCGCAGCCGAGCAGGCAGAGCCGCCUCCCAGCCACCGGCCGGCCAAGGGCAAGAGAGGCCCCACCUUGCAGUCCGUGAGGCAGGCCUCUGAGUUCCCGACCGGCCUGCACCUACCUGAGGCCUCCCCGAUCGGUGGAGAGAAGCGGCCGCCACGGAUCAGCUCCUUCGCCAUGUAUUUGUAGUUGCGUAAAUCGAGCUUUGUAUCUGCGGCUUGGAUACACGGCCACUGGCGGCUCUUGGGGAAGUUAUAAAACCCUUUCAAUCAGAUGCUGUGAAAUUUCGUGUAUGAUGUAAGGAAAUAUAAGGAAGGCGUGUGUCUGUAAUACCCACGGGCGUAUAUAAACAGAAAAGGGCUAGGGGGAGAGGGAGGGAAAGAGACACCCAGGAAAAAUGUUAGCCAAAAAUCCAGUUCUCAGUUUAACAAGCGUGUACAGCGCCGCGAUGCAGGUUGUAAACAUUUUGUGGACUUGGCCGAGAUUAUUACAACCCAAAUAAAUGCACCGCGUGGCUUGUUCACAGGGCUCCGGGCUGCUUCCAAGGGUUCCCCGUUUGCUUUUGCGUGUUCCCUUCCUGUGAAACCACCCUGCACCGGGGCGGAUCACCGCACCCGCGCUCCGGGCCUCUUCUUGGAGGAGGCCUGCCCAAGGUUGGGGAUAGACUGGGCCUGGAUUGGGGUGCCCUCCCUCCAGCUCCUGGCCUCCUGAGCCGGGGACGCCUGCGUAUCCUCGGUGCAUUCACCGCAGAGGAAAGUCGGCGGCGAGAGAAAGCAAGCGCGGCGUUCACCAUGUGAGCGCCUAUCCUGGAGCUGGGACGUUAAUACAAUUAUUUUAAACAUCACGUUUAUUUUAGAAUAACCAAAGCAGUUCCUGGUCUGUCCCCCAGGAUUCUCCGUCCUGCCAGAGCCACACCGGGCAGCUACCAAAAACGCCUUUAUGCCCAAUUUUCAGCCGCCUGAUUUUGUUUUCACGUUUCUAAGGCGGCCUACCGCCCUAGGCUCCCGGCUCGCCCGCGGGCGCUGGCUCUCCCGACCCUGUACCGGGGUUGCAGCCUUGGGGGACCUCCCGGGCCGCCGCUGGACCCUUGGCCGCCGUGUGUGCCUUCUGGACACGCUCUAGGGGGUCACCAGGUCCAGGGCCUGCAGGCCUUAGUCCUAAUGUCUGUCCGCCAGUCAGCCGCUUUCUCCGAGAGUCCCGCCGCCCCGAGGCCUGUCCCGGGCUGGGGACGGUAACCCUGGAUCGGUCCUCGCGCCUGGUGCUAUCGCCCCGCAGCCGCCGGACCACUGCAGCCCCGCAGCGCUAGGCCCCCGGCGUGGGGGAGAGGGAGGCGGGCGCGGGGUAGGUCUGGCCAGGGCCCGCCGCUUGCUUUUUGUUUCUCAGCGAGGCUCCCGGCCAGGCGUGAGCAGCACCGAAAAUAUACGACCGCCGUUCACUCAAAUCUGGGGCUCCGAUUCCAUUAAAGCUCGUAUCAAGUCGACAUCUUAGGAACUUCCCAGGGUCGUGGCGGCGGGAGAUGGCGGCGCGGACGCCUCUUGCGUGGAGCCACACUGCCAUCUGCUGGCCGCAUCUUGAUACUGCAGCCCAGCAGCCGGGCCUGAACUUCGUCAGCAGCCGCCGCGGAUCCCGUAUCCCACUCCCAAAGCUGGAGACAGUUCGCAGAGCCGGCCUUUAUGGCACUGCACCCUUACUGCCCAUUCUUUGAAGUUCCUUCUGUCUGCAACAACAGAGGGCGUCCCAACCCGGCGGCGGGGUGGCGGUGAGUGUGCGGACGCCCCAGUCCCCCGCGUUCCGUUCCCCUUUAACGCGCCCAAACACUGAUAACUUUGCCGAAAUCGCGGGGGUGGGGGGUGGAGAGAGGGAGGGCGAGAAAAGAGAGGGGUGGGGAGAUGAGGCUGAACCCUCCUCCCCAUCUAGAAGGCCCUCGGGCCUGCAAAGUCGUGCCGGUUCCCCCCGCAGCCCUUUACACCCCAUAAACGGUAACAGCCCUCAUUUUCUUUUAUGGCGCUUGGGGCUGGUCGGUUGCCUCGGCUCUGCCUCUGUCGGGACUUGUGCCCGGGAAGGGUGCGCGGGGCGGGACCCAGAAGCCCCGGGGCGGGCCUGGUAGGAUGCGGAGGCGCGGGGGCGGGCGCAGGGACCGAGCCCUCGGUCCCCCGAGAGCGCCCGUCUGUCCGUGGCUGCGGCCACGUUGCGGAGUGUUUGCUCCAGUUUCUUUCCCCGCAGACUCCUUCGGUCCUGCCGCCAUCCCCUCCUCCUCCCGCCCGGGAAGUAGGCCCGCGGGGUCCCCUGGAUCCGGGCUCGGGAACUCCUCGGGGCGCCAAGAUGGAAGAGUGGCCUUUCCCAGCUGCUGGCCAGCCACCCGCGACACCCCAGCCCGGCUACUCCGAGGCCUCCCCGAUCGGUCCCCCGCAAGUGGACACAAAGCGGGGAGCAGGGCCUGGCCGCUUCUUGUUGCCCAGCCUUCCUCCUCCGCUGGCAGCCGGCCUGGUAGGCAGAGCCCAGGUCGCCCCGGCCUGGCUGCGGCAGGCGCCCAAGGCCCACCAGAGACAAAACUGAGCUUCUGCUCUCCUCCCUUCCGCCACCCGCCCCCCCCACCGCAGGUUCCCCGGCCCCGGAGAAGAUGGUGUAAAGAGCUGACCCGCAAAAAUUAGAAAAGAAUCAAUAUAUUUUAUUUGGCAAAAAGUUAAAUAUCAUCUCAACACAACAAUUUGGUCAGUAGGCCUUGAGGUAACUAUUGCAAAAUAUACAGUGUACGUUCAGCCCGAUGGAAACCCCAGAUUCAUCAAGGAUUCAAAUCUAGAACAGCCCAAUGGCGGUUUCAUAGCGUAUAAUUUAUUAUCAAUAAAAUUAACUCCGUUACAAUAAGCAUUCAUUUUCCCCCAAUUAAAAUUCAACGUAAACCAUAGGUAGUAACCUUCUGCACAUAUGUAUAGCUCCAAAUUUCCUCAAUGUUUGGUGCAAAAACAAUAUUCAAGCGUGUUUGAUGACUUUUCUUUAAUACGUGGAUUCUAUAUAUACAAUUGACAAGACAGAUUUAUAGAGCACGUACAGACUAAAAUGCCCGCAUUUCGAGUGGAGAAAAACCAUGAAUCUGUGUGUCCCGGAGAACACUUUCUCUUCUUUUCUUAUUUUAUUUUAUUUUAUUUCACUGGGAUAUCCUUACAGCUAGUUUACAACCAAAGUUUAACAGCCUAGUUAUACAGAAGACAUGUUCCACUACAGAGCUAUACUCUAUGCAACUGCUUUCUCCCUCAAAAACAACCUGAGUUCAAAUCGAAUUCUAGCUUUUCACAAUCACAACGGGUGCGUCACCCAUCACAGAAGUUUGAGUCACAAAACAUAAUUACCACAAUAAAACACAGUGUUCAAGUAUCUGGGCAGAUCGCUCUGCCGCACAAAAA